rnacentral:rRNA from 1 species
AAGUCGGGGCCUAAGGUGAGGACGAGAGUCGUAGCCGAUGGACAACAGGUGGAGAUUCCUGUACUAUGAUAUGACAGAACUGUGGGGACACGUGCAGAGAGCGGAAGCCGGGAAUGGGAUCCCGGUGCAAGCGAGGUACCAGCCGCAUUGGAAAAACCGUGCGGCAAUGGGAAGACGUGAUGCGGAGUGAAGUUUAGUAAUGAAGUCCGUGAGCUGUGCGUCAAGAAAAGCCGCUAUUGUUCAUACCAUACCCGUACCGUAAACCGACACAGGUGGAUGAGGAGAGAAUCCUAAGGCCGGCGGAAGAAGCAUUGUCAAGGAACUCGGCAAAAUGACCCCGUAACUUCGGGAGAAGGGGUGCCUGCGAGAGCAGGCCGCAGAGAAUAGGCUCAAGCAACUGUUUAGCAAAAACACAGGUCUAUGCGAAACCGAAAGGUGAGGUAUAUGGGCUGACGCCUGCCCGGUGCUGGAAGGUUAAGAGGAGAGGUUAGCGCAAGCGAAGCUUUGAAUUUAAGCCCCAGUAAACGGCGGCCGUAACUAUAACGGUCCUAAGGUAGCGAAAUUCCUUGUCGGGUAAGUUCCGACCCGCACGAAAGGCGUAAUGAUUUGAGCGCUGUCUCGACAAUGCAUCCGGUGAAAUUGAAGUACCAGUGAAGAUGCUGGUUACCUGCGCCAGGACGGAAAGACCCCAUGGAGCUUUACUCCAGUUUGGUACUGGGAUCCGGUACUGCAUGUACAGGAUAGGUGGGAGGCUAUGAAUCGGUAACGCCAGUUGCCGAGGAGCCGCUGUUGGGAUACCACCCUUGCAGUAUUGGGUUUCUAACCAGCCGCCGUGACCCGGCGGUGGGACAAUGCCAGACGGGGAGUUUGACUGGGGCGGUCGCCUCCGAAAGGGUAUCGGAGGCGCCCAAAGGUUCCCUCAGGAUGGACGGAAACCAUCCAAAGAGUGCAAAGGCAGAAGGGAGCUUGACUGCGACACCGACGGGUGGAGCAGGUACGAAAGUAGGGCUUAGUGAUCCGGUGGUAUUAAGUGGGAAUGCCAUCGCUCAACGGAUAAAAGCUACCCUGGGAUAACAGGCUUAUCACUCCCAAGAGUUCACAUCGACGGAGUGGUUUGGCACCUCGAUGUCGGCUCAUCGCAUCCUGGGGCUGUAGUAGGUCCCAAGGGUUGGGCUGUUCGCCCAUUAAAGCGGUACGCGAGCUGGGUUCAGAACGUCGUGAGACAGUUCGGUCCCUAUCCGGCGUGGGCGUAGGAUAUCUGAGAGGAGCUGUCCUUAGUACGAGAGGACCGGGAUGGACGGGCCGCUGGUGCACCGGUUAGACUGCCAAGUCUAUAGCCGGGUAGCCAAGCCCGGAAGGGAUAAACGCUGAAGGCAUCUAAGCGUGAAGCCCCCCUCAAGAUGAGAUAUCCCAUCCGAAAGGAGUAAACCCCCUUGAAGACGACGAGGUCGAUAGGGCAGAGGUGGAAGUGUGGUAACACAUGGAGCUGACUGCUACUAAUAGGGUGAGGGCUUGAUC